AAACGCAGGAAAGGGAAGGAGUCUGGUCCUCUUCCGACUCCGAGCAGCCAUCUCCCUGGCAUAUCCACUUGUUAUUCAUCAGCGUAGCCGCUGGCUGGCCUCUUCCUUCAGCCUCGGCAUCACCCAAGAAGAAGACCCCAAAUUUCAAAGCCCAAUUACAUUCCAACUGAACCUUCUUCUCAGCAGCUCAUGAUACAGACACAAGGACCAGGUCCAAAACUCCAUCGUUGCCAUCAUUGCUUCGACCAUCAGGGUUGCAUUUUAUGUCAAUAUACUAAUAGAGAUUAUAUCAAGGCGAGGUUCUGGUUAUAGCAUGGUGGGGGCUUUUGAUUUGAAUGAUCUUUCACAGAAACUCAACAAUCAUUAUUCAUAAUCCAAUUACACUGCUUGAUGCAAUUAUUGGAAUGGCUUCAAAUUUGGAACCCAUUCCAAUUACGUCUCAAAAGCACGAUCCUGCAUGGAAGCAUUGUCAAAUGUUUAAGAAUGGGGAUCGGGUGCAACUGAAAUGUAUAUAUUGUCUCAAGAUGUUCAAGGGUGGUGGCAUUCAUAGAAUUAAAGAACAUCUUGCUUGUCAAAAGGGUAAUGCCUCUACUUGCAGUCGUGUUCCACAUGAUGUUCGACUUCAAAUGCAACAUAGCUUAGAUGGUGUUGUGGUGAAAAAGAGGAAAAAGCAAAAAAAUGAGGAGGAGAUUCUGAAUGUUACUCCUAUGUCCACUGAUACGAGCACAAUUGCCAAUCAGGUUGAUGUAAAUGCUGGUCUUCAGUGUCUUCCGGUUCCAAAUCCAGUUGAACACAACUCAACUUUGAUAGUAAAUCCUGAUGAAGGAAUGAGUAGGACUCUAGAACGAAGAAAGAGGGUAAGAGGCAAGAAUGAUACAUUAAUGUACACGAACUCUGAGGUUGCUGUCUUGGAUAAAAAUGCUUUGUUUCCCAAAAAGGUUGACAAUCGCAUUCAUAUGGCUAUAGGUCGGUUUCUCUAUGAUAUUGGCGCACCUCCUGAUGUUGUGAACUCAGUCUAUUUUCAGCAAAUGAUUGAAGCAAUUGCUUCUGGGGGCUCAGGUGUUGAACAUCCCUCAUAUCAUGAUCUUCAGGGUUGGAUUUUAAAAAAUACUGUGGAAGAAGUUAAGGGUGAUAUAGAAAGAUGCAAGAUGACAUGGGCAAGAACUGGUUGUUCCAUUUUGGUGGACCAGUGGAACACAGAAACAGGUAGAAUAUUGCAGAGAUUUUUGGCAUAUUGUCCUGAAGGUACAAUCUUUCUGAAAUCUGUUGAUGCAUCUGACAUUAUAAAUUCCUCAGAUUUUCUAUUUGAGUUGAUAAAACAAGUAGUAGAAGAAGUCGGAGUCACAAAUGUCUUGCAAGUGAUUACGCCUGGUGAAGAACAAUAUGCUGUUGCGGGGAGACAGCUGACUGACACUUUUCCUACCCUCUAUUGGAGUCCUUCUGCUGCCUAUUGUAUUGAUUUGAUACUUGAGGAUUUUGGAAAUAUUGAGUGGAUUGGUGCUGUGAUUGAGCAAGCUAAAUCUAUAACAAGAUUUGUCUACAAUUAUAGUGCAGUCUUGAAUAUGCUUAGAAGGUACACUUUAGGGAAUGAUAUUGUGGAUCCCUUUUUCUCACGCUUUGUGACAAACUUUACAACAUUGAAACGAAUGGUUGAUCUUAAACACAAUUUACAGGCUAUGGUUACUUCUCAAGAGUGGAUGGACUGUCCAUAUUCAAAGCAAACAUCUGGACUGGAAAUGCUAGAUUGCAUAAGUAAUCAGACGUUUUGGUCUUCAUGUGAUUUGAUUGUUCGUUUGACAGUUCCUCUCUUGCGAGUUCUGAGAAUAACUGCAAGUGAGAAGAGACCAGCAAUGGGAUAUGUUUAUGCUGGAAUGUACCGGGCAAAAGAAGCAAUUAAGAAAGAAUUUGUCAAGAGAGAAGAUUAUAUGGUGUACUGGAGUAUUAUACAUCACAGGUGGGAGCGGCUGUGGCAUCAUCCUCUUCAUGCUGCAGGAUUCUACCUUAAUCCAAAGUUCUUCUAUAGUAUUCAAGGGGACAUGCAUAGUGAGAUUCUCUCAGGCAUGUUUGAUUGCAUAGAGAGGUUGGUCCCUGAUACAAGAAUUCAAGAUAAAAUUAUCAGGGAGAUAAACUCAUACAAAACUGCUGCAGGAGAUUUUGGGAGAAAGAUGGCUGUUAGAGCUAGAGACAAUUUGCUUCCUGCUGAAUGGUGGUCAACAUAUGGUGGAGGUUGCCCUAACUUGGCACGUUUAGCUGUUCAUAUUCUCAGUCAAACCUGCAGUGCGAUGGUAUGCAAGAGAAACCAGAUUCCUUUUGAACAAAUCAUGAAUACAAGGAAUCACAUAGAGCGCCAACAUCUUACUGAUCUUGUCUUUGUUCAUUAUAAUUUACGAUUAAGACAAAAAUGUAUGAGUAAAGAACAGGAUUUUUGUGAUCCCCUAUCAUUUGAAAACAUUAGUAACGUUGAUGACUGGAUUAAGGCAAAGGAUAUGCACUUAGAGGAGUAUGGGAACUCAGAUUGGAUGGCAUUGGAUCCAUCUUCUGUUAACACAAUGUUGUUAAGACCUCUAAAUGAUGAAACUGAAGAACUGGGUGAAGGCUUUGAUGAUAUUGAGAUUUUCAAUGGUAUGAAAGAUGGGGAUAGUGAAAAUACCGGAGACAAGUUUGUAGGCCAUUAACAAAUGGAUAGGAGAACCAAAUCUGCAAAACCCAUGCUGGCGCCCUCCUACAUUGUUACCAAAUGCAGUGAAAAAUAAGCAGAAAUUGUUUUCAAAACUAAAUUGUGAGGAACUCUGGGGAGGGCUUGUUGGGCAGGUGUGCCAAAAAGACCAUAUCCUUUUCAUCAUCGGAUAUUACGUGCCUGAACUCACCACGUUCAAGUGGUGUGUCAUCUCUGGCUGAGCAUAUUCUUGAUGACAAGGUUUGACCUGUGAUGCUUAUUGUAGAUGCGAAAGCAAGGCCAAUUGGUAAGAAGGGAGCAGCUAAGACGUUAAUGUGGGCCCUAUUGUGUUUGAAUUCCCACCUUUUAUCAAUUUAUUUGAAGGAAAGGAGAACGGGUGGUAGUUAGCUUUAGUUAGUGAUGAUAUUUCAAAAAUAUAAAUCCAAAUAUUUAUUGUUUUUAUGAACUAUUGAUAUUAAUAAAGAUAUAUAAAAAUGUAAAAAGUCUGAAAGUUUUUUUCUUUUGAGAAAUUUCACAACCCCUCAUUUUUUCCACCGGUGUUUUCAGUCUUGUGUGCCUUACUUUACCUCAAUUAGGCUUGUUUUGUUCAUUUUAAGGAUUAGGCUCAACUAUGUUGUACCUUUUCGGAUACUGAUUGGGAUAACGAUGAACAGAAUGAUCUGAAUUGUGAUAACUUCGUUACUCUUUAAAUAAAAUAUUUUUGCUGCAA